rnacentral:rRNA from 1 species
CGACCGGCGCACGGGUGAGUAACGCGUAUCCAACCUGCCCUUUACUAUGGGACAGCCCGUCGAAAGGCGGAUUAAUACCGUAUGUUGUCAUGUUGAUGCAUAUUUUCAUGACCAAAGGCUUCGGCCGGUAAAGGAUGGGGAUGCGUCUGAUUAGCUUGCCGGCGGGGUAACGGCCCACCGGGGCGACGAUCAGUAGGGGUUCUGAGAGGAAGGUCCCCCACACUGGUACUGAGACACGGACCAGACUCCUACGGGAGGCAGCAG